GCCCUCGUAGCUCAAUGGAUGAGCGGCUCCGUCCUAAGGAGAAGAUUGCAGGUUCGACUCCUGCCGAGGGCA
rnacentral:tRNA from 1 species